rnacentral:rRNA from 1 species
ACGGAAGGCAGCAGUGGGGAAUAUUGCACAGUGGGGGAAACCCUGAUGCAGCGAUGCCGCGUGGAGGAAGAAGGUUUUCGGAUUGUAAACUCCUGUCUUAAGGGACGAUAAUGACGGUACCUUAGGAGGAAGCUCCGGCUAACUACGUGCCAGCAGCCGCGGUAAUACGUAGGGAGCGAGCGUUGUCCGGAAUUACUGGGUGUAAAGGGAGCGUAGGCGGGAUGGCAAGUCAGAUGUGAAAACUAUGGGCUCAACCCAUAGACUGCAUUUGAAACUGUUGUUCUUGAGUGAAGUAGAGGUAAGCGGAAUUCCUAGUGUAGCGGUGAAAUGCGUAGAUAUUAGGAGGAACACCAGUGGCGAAGGCGGCUUACUGGACUGUAACUGACGUUGAGGCUCGAAAGCGUGGGGAGCAAACAGGAUUAGAUACCCUGGUA